UUGGUUAACUGGGUAGACUAAGCGCAUCUGAUUGGUUAACUGGGUAGACUAAGCGCAUCUGAUUGGUUAACUGGGUAGACUAAGUGCAUCUGAUUGAUUAACUGGGUAGAUCAAGUGGAUCUGAUUGGUUAACUGGGUAGACUAAGCGCAUCUGAUUGGUUAACUGGGUAGACUAAGUGGAUCUGAUUGGUUAACUGGGUAGACUA